CUACGCUUUAUCUUGGCCAGGUCGCAGUUGCAAAUGAGAACUUGUUCUCAACUAGCCUACCUGGUUAAAUAAAGGUUAAAUAAAAAAAUGAUGUCCUCAGAUAAAGAGAGCUAUGAAACCUGUCUACAUAUGAAGAGGUCCCAAUGAAGAGCAGUGGUUCUCAGUCCUGGGGACUCAAAGGGUUGCACAUUUUUAUUUUUGCCUCAGCACUGCACAGCUGACUCAAAUGAUCAACUCAUCAUCAAGCUUCAAGUGAUACCUUGUAACUGGAGAUUCCUUCAAAAUGAUUGCCUACAGUUAACGUGCAGGGCACUGCAAGGUUGGGUGUCCAGGGCCAUCUGGGACUUCCUGCUGGAGGAAUACAGGUGUGUGAAGGCUACCUGUGUCCUGCAUAACUUCAUGAGGAUGGAUAGGAGGGGAUCUGCAGGAGGUUCUGCAGCUCGAGUCUGCUGCUCUGCAGGAUGUUUCGAGAAUGGAGUUUCCAACAACUCAGCAAGAGGAAAUCCAUGUGCGGGAGAUCUUCACCUCCUACUUCUUCGAAGAGGGUGCUGUUCCCUGGCAACACCAUAGACUACACUAUGCACAACCAAAGGCUCUUUUAAGAGUCAUUGACAUUGCAUUAAGAGUAUUCUUCUAUUUACUUAUCUAUGUUAACUGCAGUUAUUCAAUUCCCAAUUUCUCUCUCUUUGAAUCCUACUUCUCAGGUGAGGGUACUGUUUAGGUAAGGGUGUGACGUCUGUACAAAAACUAAACGGUCUAUUUUAAAUAAUCCAUAUUGAAAAAAUGGAGAACAAUUAGACACCCUAUAACCCACACCUACACACUCAUGUAUCAAUCUGAUUGAUGAACUGACUGUGUUGUGCAGUAAGCAGACUUGACUGUAUAACUGUGGCUCUGUACACCUUCAAAGAAUAGGCAAGAGGGCAACCACGGAGAAUAAUAAGACACUUUAUUAUUUCUAUAACUACGCUAUAAUGUUUGUCCUCGUGUGUCCGUUCAUGUUUUUCAGCAUAGAGUACUCUGCAGCCACUUAGUGUUUUCUCAAUAACGGUCUCUCUCCUUCACUUCAUCCCUCUUCUCCCUAAAUCCUUUAGUUUAUAUCAGCUGUGUCGGGGAACCCCUCCCGCAUCUGAGCUGGCUACAUAGAGGGCACUUGGUCAGGUCAACAGGAAGUAUUAUUAAAGAGAUGCUUCACAUUGGGAUUACUGCAUCUAUCUGUAUUUCAGAGUUAAUGAUCGAAGGUCAGUUUUGCAUUUCACCUCCUGAUGCUUAUGAUUACACCUCUCGCCACCUCUUUCUUCCUCUGUUUUUAUAAUGCACAACAGAUGUGCUUUGAAGUACAGAUUGAACUUGUAUUUAUAGUAUUACAAUAUAUUUAUGCAUGUAUUUAUAACACUUGAUUAUGAACUUCUUUCAAUAAAGCAUUUCAUAUUCUCUA